rnacentral:rRNA from 1 species
CCUACGGGUGACAGCAGUAGGGAAUCUUUCACAAUGGGCGAAAGCCUGAUGGAGCAACGCCGCGUGCAGGAUGAAGGCCUUCGGGUUGUAAACUGCUUUUAUAAGCGAGAAAUAUGAUGGUAACUUAUGAAUAAGGAUCGGCUAACUACGUGCCAGCAGCCGCGGUCAUACGUAGGAUCCGAGCAUUAUCCGGAGUGACUGGGUGUAAAGAGUUGCGUAGGUGGCAUAAUAAGUAGCUAGUGAAAUCUGGUGGCUCAACCAUUCAGACUAUUAGCUAAACUGUUAAGCUCGAGACCGUUAGGGGUAACUGGAAUUUGUAGUGUAGGAGUGAAAUCCGUAGAUAUUAGAAGGAACACCAAUAGCGUAGGCAGGUUGCUGGGACGGUUCUGACACUAAGGCACGAAAGCGUAGGGAGCAAACGGGAUUAGAUACCCCUGUAGUC